rnacentral:rRNA from 1 species
UUGGCUUAGAAGCAGCCACUCAUUUAAAGAGUGCGUAAUAGCUCACUAGUCGAGUGACUCUGCGCCGAAGAUAAACGGGGCUAAAAUCUACUACCGAAGCUUAGGAAUUACUUUAAAGUAAUUGGUAGAGGAGCAUCGUAUGCGGGCAGAAGCUGUGCUGGAAGGCAUGGUGGACUGCAUAGGAGAGAGAAUGUUGGCAUGAGUAGCGUAAGGCAGGUGAGAAUCCUGUCCGCCGAAAAUCUAAGGUUUCCUGAGGAAGGUUCGUCCACUCAGGGUUAGUCGGGACCUAAGCCGAGAGCAAGGCGCUGUAGGCGAUGGACAACAGGUUGAUAUUCCUGUACCACCGAAAGUCGUUUGAGCGAAGUGGGGACACAGAAGGAUAGGUUGAGCACGCUGUUGGUAAUGCGUGUCCAAGCGUCGAGGGAGAACUGGUAGGCAAAUCCGCGAGUUCAAUUCUGAGGCGUGAUGGGGUGGCCGCAAGGCUGGAAGCAACUGAUUUCACACUGUCAAGAAAAGCCGCUAGCGAGACCGUAGGUGCCCGUACCGCAAACCGACACAGGUAGAUGAGGAGAGAAUCCUAAGGUGAGCGAGAGAACUAUUGUUAAGGAACUCGGCAAAAUAACCCCGUAACUUCGGGAGAAGGGGUGCUCCGGAAACGGAGCCGCAGUGAAAAGUCCCAGGCGACUGUUUACCAAAAACACAGGUCUCUGCGAAAGCGAAAGCUGAAGUAUAGGGGCUGACGCCUGCCCGGUGCUGGAAGGUUAAGGGGAUGUGUAAGGGCAACCGAAGCACUGAACUUAAGCCCCAGUAAACGGCGGCCGUAACUAUAACGGUCCUAAGGUAGCGAAAUUCCUUGUCAGGUAAGUUCUGACCCGCACGAAAGGCGUAACGAUCUGGGCACUGUCUCAACAAUAGACUCGGUGAAAUUGUAGUACCGGUAAAGAUGCCGGUUACCCGCAGCAGGACGGAAAGACCCCAUGGAGCUUUACUGUAGCUUGAUAUUGAGAUUCGGCGUUGCAUGUACAGGAUAGGUGGGAGACUGCGAGGUAAGUACGCCAGUAUUUACGGAGUCACCGUUGGGAUACCACCCUUGUAACGUUGAGUUUCUAACAUUGCGCCGUGAUCCGGCGCAUGGACAGUGUCAGGUGGGCAGUUUGACUGGGGCGGUCGCCUCCUAAAGAGUAACGGAGGCGCCCAAAGGUUCCCUCAGUGCGGUCGGAAAUCGCGCGAAGAGUGUAAAGGCAGAAGGGAGCUUGACUGCGAGACAGACAAGUCGAGCAGGGACGAAAGUCGGGCUUAGUGAUCCGGUGGUUCCGCGUGGAAGGGCCAUCGCUCAACGGAUAAAAGCUACCCUGGGGAUAACAGGCUGAUACCGCCCAAGAGUUCACAUCGACGGCGGUGUUUGGCACCUCGAUGUCGGCUCGUCUCAUCCUGGGGCUGAAGUAGGUCCCAAGGGUUGGGCUGUUCGCCCAUUAAAGAGGUACGCGAGCUGGGUUCAGAACGUCGUGAGACAGUUCGGUCCCUAUCCGCUGUGGGCGUUGGAGAUUUGAGUGGAGCUGUUCCUAGUACGAGAGGACCGGGAUGGACGUACCUCUGGUGCACCAGUUGUUCUGCCAAGGGCAUCGCUGGGUAGCUACCUACGGACGGGAUAAGCGCUGAAAGCAUCUAAGUGCGAAGCCCCCCACGAGAAAAGAUCUCCUCCAAUUAU